rnacentral:rRNA from 1 species
GAUGAACGCUGGCGGCGUGCCUAAUACAUGCAAGUCGAGCGAACAGACGAGGAGCUUGCUCCUCUGACGUUAGCGGCGGACGGGUGAGUAACACGUGGAUAACCUACCUAUAAGACUGGGAUAACUUCGGGAAACCGGAGCUAAUACCGGAUAAUAUAUUGAACCGCAUGGUUCAAUAGUGAAAGACGGUUUUGCUGUCACUUAUAGAUGGAUCCGCGCCGCAUUAGCUAGUUGGUAAGGUAACGGCUUACCAAGGCAACGAUGCGUAGCCGACCUGAGAGGGUGAUCGGCCACACUGGAACUGAGACACGGGCCAGACGCCUACGGGAGGCAGCAGUAGGGAAUCUUCCGCAAUGGGCGAAAGCCUGACGGAGCAACGCCGCGUGAGUGAUGAAGGUCUUCGGAUCGUAAAACUCUGUUAUUAGGGAAGAACAAAUGUGUAAGUAACUAUGCACGUCUUGACGGUACCUAAUCAGAAAGCCACGGCUAACUACGU